UUGUCAACAUCAUUCACUGAUUCACUUCCAAAAUUCAAAACCUCUUUGUUAAAAAUACAAUACAAUAAUACAAUAACCGAUUGUUGUGUCCUGAAACCAUGUAAAAACUAGAAAAAUAACCUCAAAAGAGGGAGCUACCAACCACAACUACUUUCCAAAAGGAAAAGAACCACAUACAUGUAUGUCCCUAUGAAUUCACCAGAUUAGUUUUAUACAUUAAAUGCAUCAUCAUCAUCAUGUAUCUCGGCUAUUAAGCUGUGAACGUGCAAUAUAAGAAAGCCUUGAAGAUGCCAUUAAAGGUGCCUCUUCAUCUACUGCACUAUCUGACAUUGAACUAAAUCUGCUGCUACUCCUUGUAUUAUCUUCAUCACUGAUGUUGUUGUCAGAUGACUUCUUUUCCAGCUUCCAUUCCUGAUUAAAGAAACAUAGUAAAUAUAGAUUGAAGGGUAUUUUAGACAUCUGACAAAAAAAUUAAAACACUUUGACUGACCUUAGUCAACCGUUCUGGGAUACUUUCAGGAGGAAGUUGAGAUGCUUUCACAUCUCUAACUUUUAUGUAGUUGUACAUCACCACACCACAAAGUGCUACAAACAAAUUUUAAUCAAUCUUUUUAGUUGCUAUUUUAUUGAUGAUAUGAAAGAUUUAAACCCAAGGGUAAUGAUGACAUUUUGCAUACCAAUGGCAUAACCGAUAAUAUUGAGCCCGGUAAUGGCAGACUCUGGAAAUAUUACAGUUGAAAGAGCGAUCAAUAUCCAAUCUUUAAGGACACCUGCUACACGAAUUGUAACUGCUCCAGUUCUUCCAAUUACUAAGAAAAUUGAGAGGUUUAAUGCUAAAGCACAUAAAGCAUUCGAGAAGAAAAUCCAGAAGUUGAAUUGAAUUUGUGAAACUUCCAUGUUACUCUUCUCCAACAAAUACCAUGGCACAAACAAGAAAGCAAAACUGCAGGGGCAAAAGGGAAACACAUGAAAAAAAGGUAUUCAUCACAUUCAUAUGUAGUAAUGAAAAAAGUAAAUAAUACCUGCAUGGAGCUAUGUAAUACAAGCUUGUAAUAGGGUUUAGAGAUAAACCCUUUUUUUGUAGAAGGACUUGAGUUAAAACUAGUCUCAAAGCUUCUGCAAAGAUGCCUGUUACUUGAUAAAGUGUCCCUAUAACAUUGAAAUGGAUUUCUCCAUAUGAAGAAAUCACAACUCCAACACUGACCAGCAACAUGUUCAGUAACACAUCCCACCUCAGCUUGUCAGUGCCACAUAGGACUGCCAUGAUAAGUGUUGCUACUGGCACUGUGUGUGUCCAUUUCAAAAUACAUUCACUCAGUUAUAUUAUUUAUAAACAAAGUUUAAAGAAAUAAGAUAUAUAGAUAACAGUUUUGCAUACUUAAUGCUUUCAGCAUUUGAAUGAAGGCCACUGAUAUAUGCAAGUAUGCAGUGUUGCCAAACCUGCAAUGUAAAUAUAUAGUAACUUCACACAUAUGCAACAGGAUGCNAUAUGUGAUACUCAUCAUUCUUACCAGAGACUUGAUGCGAAGAAAGCACUAAUGGGAACUACACAUGUUGCAUAUCUAUCAAUGCCCAUGAAAAGAGAAUUCUUAAUGGAAGCUUAAAAUUUGUUAGAAACUAAAAUAGUUAAAUUAUGAAGUAGAUAUCUUACAUUUCAAAUGUCAUUUUAACUGGAGCAACAACCUGCACAGUACGAUUGGAAAAAUAUAAGCGGGGAAGCAAAAUUAAGCCUGUGAUUUUGAGGCAUGACCUAAAUGAGGAAUCUUUAAGAUUUCAUAAAGAACAAUACCUUAAAAACACGAACAAGAAAGAAUGCUACGGCACCAGAAAAGCCCAUAUGGAUCAUAGUAAGAGUGAUAGGAAAGGGAAAAUUGAAGUACUUUGGAGAGAGAACCCACUGCAAAUAGAUAUACAGAUGAUAAGCAAGGGAAUGUUUGAUGGUGAGAUGUCAAUUUGAAACAAUGUUAAGUUACCUUGUUGUAUAGAAUAACUCCAGAUGACAGCAAAAUGUAGAUUAAGAGAUAAAGGUAAGUCAAGAAAAGUGACUUGUUGAUCAUCAUUGUAGCAGUUUACUUCACAAGAUUACACCUUGUAUGUAUUAGUUCCCAGAUUCAGAGCAUACAAUGAGAUUCUCUCCCACACGGAUAACCAGAUUUCAGACUUCUUCCAACCAGAAAGCUGAUGCACUCGUCAAAAGCAAGGAGGAAAACUCACUUUCUGCACCAUAAGUACCCUACAAAGCAAUAAGAUCUAAAUGGUUUACUAUUACUUCUAUAUGUGAAAUCAUUCCACAUUUUGGUAAAAUCACAACUACCUAACUUUCUUAUAGUUGGAUUUGAACAGUAAAGUAGUUUCACGGUUUAUAUCCAGACGACUUUUUAUCAGAAGUUGUUAAAUCUGUCAAUGCCAGAACAACCUACCCUAGCAGAAUAGCGAUGGAUUCCUAGGAAGUAGAAACUACGCUGUCGAUCUCUGGGGUUAUUAGUAGGAGGCAGUAAUAGUAAUACCAUAUCGGAAUCCUGACACCUUAGGAUAUUAGUACAUCUAGCAUAAGCAGAUGAUGAAGUUCAUAGAUACACAUGGAGUACACAGAUAUUUCUUACGAUUCUACACUAAAGUCAAUAGGCAUUCGUUUGAAGGAGAUGAAAUUUAGAAACUAAAAGUGCUGAUCUACAUCGAGAGAUGGGAUACAUUUGUAAGAUUACGGUAGAACAAUGAUUUACCUUUGAAGAUCAACUGAUUCAAAAGCUUAAUGUAUAUAGGGUAGCCCCUAGAAGCAGCAGAUCAAUUUGUGUGUGUGUCGAUAUGUGAUAAUACAGAGGAGGGAGAGAGGGAGACUGGAAGAAGAAGAAAGGUUGUCAAGAUUUUUCCCCAAAGUAACUUGACUCCGCCCGUGUCUUAUGGCAAUGGCAUAGGUGUAGCGACCUUUAUUGCUAUUCUAGUAAAAUAAAGUUUUUUGGAGUAAACUACUAAACUUUAUAUAUUUAAGGUAAUUUUAUCGACAUUGGAUCUUAGUGUAUGGUAAUAUAUAGGCUGUCUAUUAAAUGUAGGGUAAAUUUUAAUGCUUUCCAAUAUGAUUUAAUUUGGCAUUUGUAUUUUGUAUCGCAAACUUUUCUCUGUUGGUUUAAAACUUUCCCAAGGUUUUAUUUAUUUAUUUCUAAGUGAUUAAAGUCGAUAUCGACCUAUUGAUUUGGUCACUUAACUUAGGUGUUUUUGUUUUUUCUAAAAAACAUUUUCAAACCAUUUUUUGCUGCGUUGUGCAACAUUUUCCCUCUCGUAGCAGUUUCUUUUUUGGAAUGCUUCAGACCAAACCUCUGCAUCUGUGCUACGUGGCCCAGCACUUGACUUGUCUCUUCAAACCUUUUCAGUUUUUAUUUUUUCCAAGUGUUUUUUUUAGAAUUUUGAUAUAACUUAGUUUUUUUAAACUUUUUAAAAAAAAAAAACUUUGAUUUUUUUUAAACUUUUAUUUACGGAUUUGAUACAAUUUCUUUUUAUAGUUUCCACAAAUUUUUUUAACUUGAUUUAAAAAAAAGUUUAAAAAAAAAAAAAAACUUUGAUUUUUUUAAUUUUUUUUUACCUUUUCUGUUAAUAAUAUUUUCAAUUUCCGCUGCAUCUUUUUUAACAUGUGUAAUUUUUACGAAUUUUAUAAACAUCGUUUGCAAUACUUUCUUAAUUUUUUAUGUUUUUUACAGCUAGUUUUUUUCUAGAAUAAAACUGUUAGCUUCUUUUAUAUAUUUUUUUUAAGUUUUAUAUUUUUGUUUUUUACAUGUUCUUUUUAGUAUUCUUUCAAUGUUUUAAGGCUAAAAUUAUUAAAAAUUCGGUGUUGAGAACUAUUUUCAGUUUAUAAAAUUAGUUUAUUUAAAUUUCAGCUUACUGCAAAUGUUAAAAAACAAACAUGCUUCUUAUUAUAGGCUGCAGCCGUUUGUUCCACAUCUUAUGUUAUAAAGGAUUGUAGAUGUGGUCUGCAGACUUCAUGAAUUUUAUCUUCGAAAAAACAAAUAGCACCUUGAAGUUACUGGUGGUUUGUACUACAUAAUCAACUAUUUUACAGGUGGACACCACGUAAUCAACUAUUUUAUAGGUCGGCGGAUCCAUAACUAAACCCCUCUGUAAAACUCUUGACGUUGUCUAGUUAAGACCCAUUCCCUUUGCAAAAAUCACGAUAGUAAUUUUGUGUUUAGCGGUUGACCUGAUGAGGUCAACGCCUACUACAACGAUGAUCGGUGGGAGGGAGUCAUGAUUGCCGUCCUUCCCGGGAAUCGAUACACGAUUUUCUUUAGAGUCAAUAGGGAACAGUUGGAAUUCAAUUAAUUGGAACUCAAACUUCAUAGGGAAUGGAUCGAUGGUAAAUCGGUUUCACAAGUUGGAAAACAAUAACAAGAUGUACAUACAUGUGUAUGAAUCGUAAUAUUUGUGAUUUGUCAUAGAAGUUUAUGUGAUAUUUCUUUGAUGGGAUGUUAAAAACGAAAAUGAGACCAAGAAUUAGGGAAUCCAUGAGAUUGAUACGGGGUUACGUUUAGAAAAUUUCAUCAUGUGACAUCUUCUUCUAAGAGUUUAAAUUAGGUAUUCAUCUCAAUGAUUGAAGAGGCAUAAUUUAACAACUUUAGGAAUGCUAAUGUCAAAUAAGUGUUGAAUCAGACAUGAAUCAGAUUGCUUGUUUCUUGCACAUUGAUACAAGAUACGCAUAGUUAAACAUAUUUCGCCGCAUGCAUCUUUGUUUAUGGAGUUUAAGAUUUUGCAACAAUGAUAGAUUUUACAAAGGGGCAUUGGUGGAAGUCUGCAGUGAUUAAGAUGGUUUCCAAGAUGUUUGGUUUGCUGCCAUGAUUUUUUGAGAACUUAUUGAUUUGGCAUAAAUCAUCGAGGAACGAUGAAGAUAUAAAAUUUUUGACAAAAGUGACUGUUAGCUUCUUUUAGUGAUUGGGUAGAGAUAACCGGAUUAACUUUAUUGAGCUUAUGGACGUUUUAAACUAUAAUAGUAGAGUUGAAGGAUGUUUUAAACCAUAACAUUGGAGUUUAAGCACCUAAAUUAAUUAAUUAAUUAAUUAAUUAAAAAAAAAAAAAAAAAAAAAAAAAAAAAAAAAAAAACACUGGAGGACCUUUUAAACGAAUCCGGAAAUUUUGUAUGGUCUCAACGACAUUAUCCCGAUUUUAUAUUAACCUAAUAUGUUAUCCAUCUUAAUAAUUGAAAUCAUCUUAUUAAUAGUUAUUUAUUUAAUUGUUAUAUGUUGUUUGUAUAUUUCGUGACGACAUGUGUGGACGUGUUGGUUUGUGGUUUUCUUUUAAUCUUAUAUUAAGGGGCACUAAUGUCUCAACCAACUAUACUUGAAUUUAAAUAAUUGACAUUACAAUAUUUGAUUCAAUACAAAGACUCAAUUAUGGUUUCAAUAUUUUUAAUAAGAGUUAAAGUUACUAAUUGUGAUUAACAAUUACUAAAUAUAAAGAGGUUACUUUUAGAAAUAAAUACAUAUCAUUAACUUUGGAGCAUAUCGAAGCGAAAAAUAUAAUUAUUAACAUUUUAUUCAUAUGAUUAUGAUCAAAACCAAUUGAUAUUAUCUAUUUUAAAAAAAUGCUAUAAAGUACAUUUUUCUUAAAUGAGGGAAAAAGUUUAUGGAAGUUUGCGUGCGUGCAUGGACCGUCCAAUGUAAAUAGUUGCCUAAUUUUAUAAUAUUACUUACUUCUUUUAAGUAAUAAAUUGUAUUUUUCUUUUCUAUAUAGAUCUGGUUUAAAGAAUAAUAAUAUUUUAUAUGGAAUUUUGGGAAAAAAUGUAUUUUAUGCAUAAUAUAUCAUAAAAAUAAUUUAUCAAUGGAAAAGUGAAAUUGUAUAUAGUAAACCACAUUAUUUAAACGGCCCACAACAAAUCUGGCCUAGAUUAUAUAUAUUAUAUAUGGACAAUGAAAAAAAAAAACAUAAGCUAUUAAAAUGUGAAAACUAAAACUUUCAAAACCUUUUUGAUGUAUAUGUUAUAAAUUUUGAUGCAGCAAGCAGUAACCAUGAAAUUAGGCAAAACACUUCACAAAUGUUUUCCUCAUUUAAUUAAAUUCAUAAAUCAAAUAUAAAAAGGGUGUCCACUGUCCACCGAUGACAUUGCAGAUCUUUAAGAUUAGGUAAUGUAGUAAUAUUUACCUAAAAAUUCUCAUAUUUCAAAAUAAUGGACAAAAUACUAAAAAUAGCAAUUUACCUUAAAUUUCCAACAUACAUUAAUGCUUCUCAUGUGAAAGCUCCUCCUUUUUCUAAAUCUACACUUGGAUGUUAAGUACACUUCUAACCAAAAUAUAUGAUUUUAGUUUUAUGGAUAGGAUCAAGCCAAUCAAGUGGGACCAUAAUACUUUAUUCAGCAAAAUAUUGUCAGCAAAAAAUAUUGAUGGUUGGGAACAUGAAUAGUAAGACUCAUAAAUAUCUUAUUUAGUAUAUAUAUUUAAAUAAAAAUAUCUAUUAGUCCAUACUGUUGCAUUUUCUUAUCUUAUCAUAUUAAAUCAUUAACAACAAAAAAUAAUACUUUCGUCUUCUUUCCAGAUCCCAUUUACAUCAGUUAAUUGAUCAAAACUAAGAUUGUAAAUCAUAAAUCCAAAACCAAUCCUCAGAGUGUUGUUUCAAAAUCUGUCUAGUAAAAAUACAAUACAAUAAUCCAAUUUUCCAUCCUCAAAACCAUGUAAAAAAAAAAAAAACAAAUACACGUAUGUCCCCUAUGAAUUCACGAGAUUAGUUUUAUACAUAUGAUGCAUCAUCAUCAUCAUGCAUCUCGGCUAGUAAGCUGUGAACGUGCAAUAUGAGAGAGCCUUGAAGAUGCCAUUAAAGGUGCCUCUUCAUCUACUGCACUACUACUCCUUGUAUUAUCAUCAUCAUUAGUCAUUCUUUCUGGGAUAAUACUACUUUCAGGAGGAAUUUGAGAUGAUGCUUUCACAUCUCUAACCUUUAUGUAGUUGUACAUCACCACACCACAAAGU
rnacentral:lncRNA from 1 species